rnacentral:rRNA from 1 species
UACGGAGGGUGCAAGCGUUAUCCGGAUUCACUGGGUGUAAAGGGUGCGUAGGCGGGCAGGUAAGUCAGUGGUGAAAUCCCCGAGCUUAACUUGGGAACUGCCGUUGAUACUAUCUGUCUUGAAUGUUGUGGAGGUGAGCGGAAUAUGUCAUGUAGCGGUGAAAUGCUUAGAUAUGACAUAGAACACCAAUUGCGAAGGCAGCUCGCUACACAAUUAUUGACUCUGAGGCACGAAAGCGUGGGGAUCAAACAGG